CCGGACCGGACAAAACCAGAAAUCAACCAAAUUUGUUAUUUUUUUAUUUCUGCUAAAUAUUAAAGUUGAUCUUUUCUUUACUGUUCUCAGGCAAGUGAAGGUGGCCUUACCUGCACCUACAAUGACCUUUGCCCCAUGACACCUGACCACAGUGUCAAAGAAGUGAAUCUCCAAGGCCAGCUGGGUGCCUGUCUCUCCCCCAGUGAGGAGCCUUCUGCUAGGCAGUGUGUGGAGGAGCAGCAGUGCUACGUGGAGAGUUUGCGACAGGAGAUUCAGGCUGAACAAAGAAGGGCUGAGAGAGAGCUGGAGAGGGAGCAGGCUCACCUCCGACAGCAGCACAGUGAGAUCCAGCAGUGGAUUUUGCAGGAGAAACGGCGCCUAACAACUGUAGAGCAGAGAAUCACCCAAGAAUCCGGACUUCAGGCAGACCUUAUAUCCCGCACUCCUCCUGGAGCGAGAGGCAAGUCCGGCGUCCGACUUUCAGGAAGGUCAGACAGUAGAUCGUCUGUCCCACGUCGUAAGGGCCAGGAAGAAGGCGGUGCAGGAGGAGCUACUAAAGCAUCACGCCCUUUGCCGUUCCGAUAGCCGCAUCCGCCGGAAAAAGUUGCACUACCAGCUGGAGAGAAUCGCCCGCAAGCGGCAUCUUUUGGAAGCAAAGAGGGAGUUGCAGCGGCUGGAAAGAGCCCUGCCUCCGGGACCUGACAGCCCAGAGACCCCUGAGCUGGGGUCCCCCACAAAGCUCAGGGGAAGACCGUUUGGUUCUCGUAGACACUCCUUCUCAGCAGAUCUUCUGUCCCGGCUCUACCCACAGAACACCCCUAUCUUCAGGUAAGCACAUUAAGCCAUAAAACGUGUAACAUGAGUUCAUUGCAAUCGAGGGCAGGAAGCAAUUCUCAUUUUCAUUAAAAGAAUA
rnacentral:lncRNA from 1 species